UACAGAGGUCUCAAGCGUUGUUCGGAAUUACUGGGCGUAAAGGGCGCGUAGGCGGCCUGUUAAGUCGAACGUGAAAUCCCCGGGCUCAACCCGGGAACUGCGUCCGAUACUGGCAGGCUUGAAUUCGGGAGAGGGAUGCGGAAUUCCAGGUGUAGCGGUGAAAUGCGUAGAUAUCUGGAGGAACACCGGUGGCGAAGGCGGCAUCCUGGACCAUUACUGACACUGAAAAGCGAAAGCCAGGGGAGCAAACGGG
rnacentral:rRNA from 1 species